CGCAAUCAGUUCAUAAGCUGAAAGCUCUUGAAAUUGUUUGGCUUAUUGGGUGCUCAAAUAUCACCAAGUUUCCACGGGUUUCAAUGACUGUAAGAGAAUUAUAUCUCAGUGAAACUUCUAUAAAAGAGGUGCCCUCAUCAAUAGAAUUUCUCACAGGACUUGAAAUAUUGGAAAUGAUAAGCUGCAACAAGCUACUGAGAAUCCCAAGCACCAUCAGUAAGUUGAAAUCUCUUGAAAUUCUUGUUUUAUCUCAUUGCUCGAAACUCGAGAGCUUCCCAGAAAUCUUGGAGCCUAUG
rnacentral:misc_RNA from 1 species